rnacentral:tRNA from 1 species
ACAUCCGUGGCGAAAUGGAUUAGCGCGUUGGACUUCUGAUUCAAAGAUUGUGGGUUCGAUUCCCAUCGGAGGUG